ACGGUGAUAGCAAUAUCAUAGUGGCGCACGGGUGCGUAACACGUAUUGCAACCUACCUAUUAUUGGGGGAUAGCCUUUGGAAACGGAGAUUAAUACCGCAUAAUACGAUUGACUGGCAUCGGUUGAUUGUUAAAGCUUAGGCGAUAAUAGAUGGGCAUGCGUCCAAUUAGUUAGUUGGUUAGGUAACGGCUGACCAAGACGAUGAUUGGUAGGGGAUCUGAGAGGAUAAUCCCCCACACUGGCACUGAGAUACGGGCCAGACUCCUACGGGAGGCAGCAGUAGGGAAUAUUGGGCAAUGGGCGGAAGCCUGACCCAGCCAUGCCGCGUGCAGGAAGAAGGCGUUAUGCGUUGUAAACUGCUUUUUUAUAGGAAGAAGGAUCCCUUGCGAGGGAAGGUGACGGUACUAUAAGAAUAAGCACCGGCUAACUCCGUGCCAGCAGCCGCGGUAAUACGGAGGGUGCAAGCGUUGUCCGGAUUUAUUGGGUUUAAGGGUGUGUAGGCGGUUUAUUAAGUCAGUGGUGAAAGACGGUCGCUCAACGAUUGCAGUGCCAUUGAUACUGGUAGACUUGAGUGAGAUUGAGGUAGCUGGAAUGGAUAGUGUAGCGGUGAAAUGCAUAGAUAUUAUCCAGAACACCGAUUGCGAAGGCAGGUUACUAAGUCUUAACUGACGCU
rnacentral:rRNA from 1 species